UGGGGAAUAUUGCACAAUGGGCGCAAGCCUGAUGCAGCCAUGCCGCGUGUGUGAAGAAGGCCUUCGGGUUGUAAAGCACUUUCAGCGAGGAGGAAGGUGGUGAGCUUAAUACGCUCAUCAAUUGACGUUACCCGCAGAAGAAGCACCGGCUAACUCCGUGCCAGCAGCCGCGGUAAUACGGAGGGUGCAAGCGUUAAUCGGAAUUACUGGGCGUAAAGCGCACGCAGGCGGUUUGUUAAGUCAGAUGUGAAAUCCCCGGGCUCAACCUGGGAACUGCAUUUGAAACUGGCAAGCUAGAGUCUCGUAGAGGGGGGUAGAAUUCCAGGUGUAGCGGUGAAAUGCGUAGAGAUCUGGAGGAAUACCGGUGGCGAAGGCGGCCCCCCUGGACGAAGACUGACGCUCAGGUGCGAAAGCGUGGGGCAGCAAACAGGAUUAGAUACCCUGGUAGUCCACGCUGUAAAACGAUGUCGAUUUGGAGGUUGUGCCCUUGAGGCGUGGCUUCCGGAGCUAACGCGUUAAA
rnacentral:rRNA from 1 species